AAUAUAAAAGAGAAAAAUUAUUAGGUUGGUGCAAAAGUAAUUGCGGUCUUUGCAACUGAAAGUAAUGGCAAAAAUCACAAUUAGUUUUGUACCAACUUAAUAUAUGUUUGGAUAUAUAUU
rnacentral:pre_miRNA from 1 species